CCGGUAGCUAAAUGCGGAAGAGAUAAGUGCUGAAAGCAUCUAAGCACGAAACUUGCCCCGAGAUGAGUUCUCCCUGACUCCCUGAGAGUCCUGAAGGAACGUUGAAGACGACGACGUUGAUAGGCCGGGUGUGUAAGCGCAGCGAUGCGUUGAGCUAACCGGUACUAAUGAACCGUGAGGCUUAACCUUACAACGCCGAAGCUGUUUUG
rnacentral:rRNA from 1 species